rnacentral:rRNA from 1 species
GAGUUUGAUCUUGGCUCAGGAUGAACGCUAGCGGCAGGCCUAAUACAUGCAAGUCGAACGAUAGUGAGGGGCUUGCUCUUCACGAAAAGUGGCGCACGGGUGCGUAACGCGUAUGCAACCUACCUUAAUCAGGGGGAUAGCCCGAAGAAAUUCGGAUUAACACCGCAUAAAAUCACAGUAUAGCAUUAUACAAUGAUCAAAUAUUUAUAGGAUUAAGAUGGGCAUGCGUGACAUUAGUUAGUUGGCGAGGUAACGGCUCACCAAGACUUCGAUGUCUAGGGGAUCUGAGAGGAUGACCCCCCACACUGGUACUGAGACACGGACCGAGACUCCUACGGGAGGGCAGCAGUAAAGGAAGUAAUUGGUCGAAUAGGAGGCAACUACUGAACCAGCCAUGCCGCGUGCAGGAAGACAG